UGGUUCUGGCAUCGAUGAAGAACGCAGCGAAAUGCGAAAAGUAAUGCGAAUUGCAGAAUUCCGUGAGUCAUCGAAUCUUUGAACGCACAUUGCGCCCCCUGGUAUUCCGGAGGGCAUGCCUGUCCGAGCGUCAUUAUCCAUCUCCAGCGUGCUGGGCGUUGGGCCGACCGUCUGGUCGCCCCGAAAAGCAGCGGCGGCACCGCUCUGGUCGCAGCGCAACGAGCUUCGGCCGCGCUGCGGGCACCGGCCCGCCCCCCAAUCCAAGUUGACCUCGGAUCAGACAGGAUUACCCGCUGA
rnacentral:misc_RNA from 1 species